AAAAAGAAAAAAAAUGCUUAAGAAAAACUCACAUUUUUGGGUAUUGCUUUUAUUUCAAAUGUUUUUACUUUGGCCAAUAUUGUGUCUUUU
rnacentral:ribozyme from 12 species